rnacentral:rRNA from 1 species
AACGAACGCUGGCGGCAUGCCUAACACAUGCAAGUCGAACGAGACCUUCGGGUCUAGUGGCGCACGGGUGCGUAACGCGUGGGAACCUGCCCUUAGGUUCGGAAUAACUCCCCGAAAGGGGUGCUAAUACCGGAUAAUGUCUUCGGACCAAAGAUUUAUCGCCUUUGGAUGGGCCCGCGUUGGCUUAGCUAGUUGGUAGGGUAAAAGCCUACCAAGGCGACGAUCCAUAGCUGGUCUGAGAGGAUGAUCAGCCACACUGGGACUGAGGCACGGCCCAGACUCCUACGGGAGGCAGCAGUGGGGAAUAUUGGACAAUGGGCGAAAGCCUGAUCCAGCAAUGCCGCGUGAGUGAUGAAGGCGUUAGGGUUGUAAAGCUCUUUUACCCGGGAUGAUAAUGACAGUACCGGGAGAAUAAGCUCCGGCUAACUCCGUG